UCAUGCAUUAAAACUGAAGCAUCCCACAAUUGCUUGUGAUCCCCUUGUAAAAUGCUGGCAAAGGUAUUUUGCUUGAAAAUGCAUCUUAACAAAAUUUUUCUAGCAACUAUGUUAAAAAGUUCUCACUUUGACACAAUAAACUAUAAAUAUUUUCCUAGGACCAAAAAUUAAAAUGAUCUCUUGUGGUUCUGAACUAAUCAACAACACAUUGCUAGUAAUCCCCAACAAAGUCCUCCAAAACAGGGAUAAAAUUCUCUAAGCUACAAGAGAUGAUUUUCAAUAAGACAAUUCUCUGGUGCACAAAUCCAGCUUCAAUUGUCAAGCUGUUUUCACUUUACGAGAGGUAGGCCGUCGGAAUAAGCUUAUAAGAUCAUCAAGACCCCUAGUUGUGAUGACGAGAAAACUAAAAAGAACUAUCAAAUAUGAUCCCAGCACCAGAAGCAACAGCAAAUCAAAUGUUACACUAGCAACCUGAUAUAUGUUUAGCUUAGCUUUAGUUGAGUCAUAGAAUGUGAACAUCCCAUCAAGCGCUUCGUGUUGUACAUUUACUUCAUGGGCAUGAUCUUCUAGUUCCUUCUUCAAUGCCAUCACAAAUGGGUCAUUCUUUGAAAGAAAUGGUGCCACUCGAGGUGUUUGUGACAAUAGAUCUAACCAUGACUUUACAUAAGAAGGAUUUACAGCCAAACUACUGUCAUCCGCAAAUACUUUUAUGUUCUCUCCUUGAUGACUGUAGAUAUGCCUCGCAAUACUCUCAGCAACUAACUUGAUACUUCUGACGAUUGCUGUUUCAUUUACAAAAUAUCUGUUAUCUGAAAGACCUCCAGUGCUUUCUAAAAUAUCAGGAGCCACAGAGAGCUCAGAAAGGGUGGCAGCAGUGAUCCUCAGCCUUGAAAAUUGUUCAUGCUCCCAAGCUACUCUAGGAUUCGAAAUAUUGAUUUUCUUGUGUUUUAGACCAAUUUCAAGGCCCAAUUCUUUUGCUACAUUAGAGAAACCUUCAAAAAUUUGUUUAAUAUAUGCAUUCUCUGGGGGCUUGGACACAUGAAUCCACAAUUCAUUAUCCCAUGAGCCAAUGCUAUUUAAGCAAAUAGCAUAGUCAAUGCUCUCACGUAGGCGUUGAUCAAAGCUCCGUAGCCACUUUUGAGUUCCAUUGUAGUUAUAAGGUCCACCAGACGUUAGCCCAAAAAGUAAAUUAUACCUUCCUCUUGUCUUAGGAUUUGAAUAAAGAAGAGAAAACAACCUAGCUAUUUCAAGAAGAGCCACAACGCCACUUCCAUUGCUAUCAGUUCCAACUGAUAAUGCAGGAGCAGUCCCAAAUGUAUCAUAUGAUACUAC
rnacentral:misc_RNA from 1 species